UGCUUCGUGGCUUAGUGGUUAGAUCGUCUGCCUCGGGUGCGAGAGGUCGUGGGUUCCAUCCCCGGUCGAGUCAU